rnacentral:rRNA from 1 species
CCUAGAGUGGGGGAUAACGUAGCGAAAGUUACGCUAAUACCGCAUACGAUCUAAGGAUGAAAGUGGGGGAUCGCAAGACCUCAUGCUCGUGGAGCGGCCGAUAUCUGAUUAGCUAGUUGGUAGGGUAAAAGCCUACCAAGGCAUCGAUCAGUAGCUGGUCUGAGAGGACGACCAGCCACACUGGAACUGAGACACGGUCCAGACUCCUACGGGAGGCAGCAGUGGGGAAUUUUGGACAAUGGGCGAAAGCCUGAUCCAGCAAUGCCGCGUGAGUGAAGAAGGCCUUCGGGUUGUAAAGCUCUUUUGUCAGGGAAGAAACGGUGAGAGCUAAUAUCUCUUGCUAAUGACGGUACCUGAAGAAUAAGCACCGGCUAACUACGUGCCAGCAGCCGCGGUAAUACGUAGGGUGCAAGCGUUAAUCGGAAUUACUGGGCGUAAAGCGUGCGCAGGCGGUUUUGUAAGUCUGAUGUGAAAUCCCCGGGCUCAACCUGGGAAUUGCAUUGGAGACUGCAAGGCUAGAAUCUGGCAGAGGGGGGUAGAAUUCCACGUGUAGCAGUGAAAUGCGUAGAUAUGUGGAGGAACACCGAUGGCGAAGGCAGCCCCCUGGGUCAAGAUUGACGCUCAUGCACGAAAGCGUGGGGAGCAAACAGGAUUAGAUACCCUGGUAGUCCACGCCCUAAACGAUGUCUACUAGUUGUCGGGUCUUAAUUGACUUGGUAACGCAGCCUAACGCGUUGAAGUAGACCGCCUGGGGGAGUACGGGUCGCCAGGAUUAAAAACUUCAAAGGAAAUUGA